rnacentral:rRNA from 1 species
UACGAAGGGGGCAAGCGUUGUUCGGAAUCAUUGGGCGUAAAGCGCGUGUAGGAGGUCUAUUAUGUCGGGUGUGAAAUCCCUGGGCUCAAUCGAGGAAGUGCAUUCGAAACUGAUAGACUAGAAGAUGGUAGAGGAAGGUGGAAUUCCAAGUGUAGAGGUGAAAUUCGUAGAGAUCGGGAGGAAGGCCGGUGGCGAAGGCGGCGCUCUGGAACGUUACUGACGCGUGAGACACGAAAGCGUGGGGAGCAAACAGG